rnacentral:rRNA from 1 species
GUCGAGGGGCAGCGGGGUAGUGCUUGCACUACUGCCGGCGACCGGCGCACGGGUGAGUAACACGUAUGGAACCUGCCCGCAGCAGGGGGAUAAGCGGAAGAAAUUCCGUCUAAUACCGCGUAACAACGUUGGGAGGCAUCUCCCGAUGUUUAAAGAUUUAUCGGCUGCGGAUGGCCAUGCGGCGCAUUAGCUAGUCGGCGGGGUAACGGCCCACCGAGGCGACGAUGCGUAGGGGUUCUGAGAGGAAGGUCCCCCACACUGGUACUGAGACACGGACCAGACUCCUACGGGAGGCAGCAGUGAGGAAUAUUGGUCAAUGGCCGAGAGGCUGAACCAGCCAAGUCGCGUGAGGGAAGACGGCCCUACGGGUUGUAAACCUCUUUUGUCGGGGAGCAAAGCGAACCACGUGUGGUUCAUUGAGAGUACCCGAAGAAAAAGCAUCGGCUAACUCCGUGCCAGCAGCCGCGGUAAUACGGAGGAUGCGAGCGUUAUCCGGAUUUAUUGGGUUUAAAGGGUGCGCAGGCGGAGGUGCAAGUCAGCGGUCAAAUUGCGGGGCUCAACCCCGUACUGCCGUUGAAACUGCAUCCCUUGAGUGCGCGAGAAGUAUGCGGAAUGCGUGGUGUAGCGGUGAAAUGCAUAGAUAUCACGCAGAACUCCGAUUGCGAAGGCAGCAUACCGGCGCGCAACUGACGCUCAUGCACGAAAGCGUGGGUAUCGAACAGGAUUAGAUACCCUGGUAGUCCACGCAGUAAACGAUGAACACUAACUGUUCGGUCAGAAUGAUGGCUGAGUGGUACAGCGAAAGCGUUAAGUGUUCCACCUGGGGAGUACGCCGGCAACGGUGAAACUCAAAGGAAUUGACGGGGGCCCGCACAAGCGGAGGAACAUGUGGUUUAAUUCGAUGAUACGCGAGGAACCUUACCCGGGCUCAAACGACACAGGAAUACUUUUGAAAGGAGGUAGCCCUACGGGGUCUGUGUCGAGGUGCUGCAUGGUUGUCGUCAGCUCGUGCCGUGAGGUGUCGGCUUAAGUGCCAUAACGAGCGCAACCCCUAUCGCCAGUUACCAUCAAGUAAAGUUGGGGACUCUGGCGAGACUGCCGGCGCAAGCUGAGAGGAAGGCGGGGAUGACGUCAAAUCAGCACGGCCCUUACGUCCGGGGCGACACACGUGUUACAAUGGCAGGUACAGAGAGAAGCCAGGUGGCGACACCGCGCGGAACUCGAAAGCCUGUCUCAGUUCGGAUCGGAGUCUGCAACCCGACUCCGUGAAGCUGGAUUCGCUAGUAA